rnacentral:rRNA from 1 species
AGCUCCAAUAGCGUAUAUUAAAGUUGUUGUGGUUAAAAAGCUCGUAGUUGGAUCUCGGCGGACUGAGGGCGGUUUGCUUGCUAGUAUUACUGCCCUAUAGUCCGUAGUUUUGCCAGAGGUUUCGGGGUGCUCUUAAUCGAGUGUCCCGGGAUGCUGGCAGGUUUACUUUGAAAAAAUUAGAGUGCUCAAAGCAGGCUAUUACGCCUGAAUAUUCGUGCAUGGAAUAAUAGAAUAGGAAGUCGUUUCUAUUUUGUUGGUUUUCGGAAAUCGACUUAAUGAUUAAUAGGGACAGUCGGGGGCAUUUGUAUUCAAACGACAGAGGUGAAAUUCUUGGACCGUUUGAAGACAAACUACUGCGAAAGCAUUUGCCAAGAAUGUCUUCA